UCCCUCCACUCAGUUUUACUAUCCCCGCCUCCAUCGCGCAGGAGGCUCCCUCGGCGGAGGAGCUUCUCCUAAAUCAAAAACCUUAACACCAAACUCUUCCUCUCACCAUCUUUUACACCGAUUGACCCUUACAUUUCAUCAAUUCCUAAUCCAGUAGACGAAUCGAGCCAAACUUUUGGGAGAACCCUAACUAUUGAAGACAAGAUUAAAUCCUCUAACCAUGGAAUCAAAGCCCAGACGGUUGGUGCUUUGAUUCCCUCAGCUCUAAACUACGCACCAGCAACAGACUUGAAGUGAAAAAGGGAAGAAUAUUCAGCUUACCUUCCGAAGAAGGUGAAGACGAUGGUGACAACGAGAUAUCUGGAAACACUCCUGCAAUUCUUGAAGCAUUCUCAAUCAGCUCACCAACCAAAGAGUUGCAACAACGACAUCAUGGCUUCUACUAAGUAAAUGAUGAAAAAGGAUGUCCGUUUGUUCAUGUCCCAAGCCUUCGAACAGUUCCUUGGCAAAAGCAAGCUGAUCAUCGAUAAUUAUCUCAAUGUUUACACCAAUAUUCAGAGCUCUUACAUGGCUUCAACACCUUCAUGCAUAGAGGGAUCAAUUAGUGGUAAAAAACCAACAAAUCUUCAUGGUGCACUAGGGGUUGCAAAUGGUAUACCGCUAAUGAUCAAAUGUUGUUGCCGUAAAUAGCAAGAUGCUAACAUGGGCAACAACAGUUUGUCUGAGGAUGGUUGCUACGACUCAAAUAUGGUGUAGCUUCUAGUUCAACUUCAGAAUUAAGAGUUGGUUAAUUGGUUUAAUUUACUACGGGUGGAACGUCAUGGAUUCAAUGCCGCUACCUGUGUUAACGGCUGUAGCCGCUGAAGGCAAGCAGCGUGCUCCACCUUCUGCGGUUGCUGCUGCUGAAAAACCGGUUAAAGGUGCUAUUGUCAUGGCCACCAUGGUUGAAAAGUUCUUCUUGUUCAUGUUAGUGACCGUAUAUUGUUGGUUUCGAUUUCAUGAUGGAUAUUUGUAGGGUUUAUAUAGGCAAUGGAAGGAGGAAACCCAGGACCCACAUAUGCAAAUAGAUUUGUCCAAUUUGCUCUAUCAGGAACAAAAAUUUGAUCAAUG